ensembl:lncRNA
CCUGAGCACGGCCGUGAUGAAGCUGGAUCUGAGCUGCAGUGUUUGGGUUCUGGCCGUCGGUUUGCUGCCGUUGGUCCGAAUCACUGCCGGAUCCAUUUUGGGCGCAGCUGUUAACAUUGAGCUGCUUGACCAGGACAGAUCACAGCCGGUCAGGGCUCAUUACAGCGUGGUGUCCAAUUUGCCCUGUCCAGCUCUGAAUGAGCUGUGUAACGGAGGAGACUGCGUGGAUCAGCUCAGCUCCUCUCCUCUGACAGGGGCUUUACCGUCACCCGGCUGGUGUCUUCAUCAGUGGCAGAAGAACAUCCCUGAACACCACACAUCUGCUCUUCAGCUCAGAUCUGACAGAGCCGUGACACUGGAUUCACGAGCAGAUCUGUCUGUCAGAGCCGACACUAACCGUGUUAACCAGCCUCCAUUUGUGGCUCUUCCUCCUCCAGUCAGGUUACAAGCUGCUUGUCCUCAAGAAAUUCCGGUGAAUGUGAUGGAUUUGGAUGGAGAUGAGAUUCGCUGCCGUUAUAAGAAGACUGAACUUGGUGAAUUUCUGCAGCUUAAUGAAGAGACAUGUACACUGCUGUAUGAAGGUAGAGCUGGUUUGGGUCAGUAUUCAGUUCUGAUCAUGGUGGAGGAUUUUCCUUCAUCUGACAGAGAGGCCGAGCCGUUCUCCACUGUACCUCUGCAUCUCCUAAUAACAGUUGAAAGCGGAGCUGGCUGCUCAGUUGUGCCGGAGUUCACAGGCGUCAGUCCAGCAGGAGGCGCUGUAAUCCACGUACUGCCCUUUGAGGAGGUCCAUGUCAACAUUACAGUGGACUCAAGAGUACAGAGUGUGUCUGAAAUUGCUGUGACUGGUCCGCCGGGCCUCUUCAUAUCAUCAAUGGAAAUUGGCCAGAGCUUCUACAGCUCCGUCACGCUGUCCUGGGUCCGAGGUCCGAAUCAGUUCACCCAUCUGCUGUCCGUUUGUUUCGCUGCUAAUACUCCAAGCCUGCAGUCUAACAUCAGGUGCAUAUGGCUUCAGCAAACACAAACAGACCCUUUGCCGACUGGAACAGAGUUGAAAUGUAAGGAGCGCGAGCUUCAGAUGUCUCUAGUGCUGCCCAUUUCCUUCCUGGAGAACCUGCAUUUCUCUGCUCUCCAGCUGAAUGAUCCGACCUGUCCAGUGUUUUAUAACUCGACCCAUGUCACCGCCACCUUCUCUCUGACGGGCUGCGGAACCAAGAGGAUGCAUUUAGGAUCAGAAUUGCUGUACACCAACACUUUACGCAGCAUCAAUCCUAACUCCACUAUAAGCCGCGUGCCCACUCUCAUCCUGCCGCUUGCCUGCCGGAUUCCUGGUCAACAAGCUAAAGGUCCGGCUUUUAAAAUCUCCAUUCCUGAAGAAGUGAAGACGUUUGGUGCCGUGUCCUUCUGGCUGGAGUUCCAUCUUCCCGGAAAGGGUCCUAUGGCCAGCAAGACUCGUCUAUCAGAUUUGCGCAGUUCACCGCCAGUGCGUGCGGCUCGAGAGCUACGCGCUGCAGACCGGGUGGACAUGCUGGACCUGCAUGUGUUCUCCAACUGCUCUUUGGCUCGUGCUGAGCUCAUGGUGGGCCGCUGUGUGGAGUCAGAAACAGAAGACUUUACAAGCACAAGGCCUCUGCUGAACCAGGGCUGUGUAUCUGGAAAUGGAACCUUGGAGAUCCUGACAUCAACUUCAACAGUUCGGAUUUUCCGCUUAUAUCUCGGUUCUCUGGGAAUAAAGGGAGACACGAUGUAUGUUGAGUGUGUAGUGCACCUCUGUAUUACCACAAAACAAACUGACAGAUGUUCUGAUCCCUGUACGGGAACGCCGGACCCGACCAUAGUAGACAGCAUUCUGACCCGCAGCUACACUGUGCGAUCAGGGCCCGUUUCCCUCAUUAAAGUCACAGAAACCAGCACUACAGUGGCUAAACCGCAAUCUGCUACUCCAGUCGCUCAGCCUUCCACCAGCCAGGCCACAACAGCUUCUGCCUCUCGCCGUGAGUAUUUUAAAACUAACAUUGCCAUUGUGCACAUUUCUGUGACACAACACAUAUGACAAUAUCUUUGCUCUUCUCUGUUUCAGCUCUGGAUACAGGUGCAUUCUGGAUAGUUGCUGUGUCAUUGCUUGUGCCCAUGCGUCUCCCUUGAGCUGUUAUGACACAUUAGAGAACUUUGUAGAGCAGUUUAUUUGUGACUAAUCAAAAUGAUCUUUUCUUCUUAACCACCAUUAUGAUGUUUCUUUAUAUAUCCUUGAAUCACGUAAAAAGCACAUAUUGUAGGAAGACAUACUUCAUGCCUUUACAGUUAUUAACAAGUUUUAGGUAGCAUCAAGAAACAUCUACUCCUGCUCUUCUAAUCUUUUAUUUUUAAGCAACUAUAAUAAAUUGAUAAAAUUCAUAAUAAUAGGCUUUUUU